GCGUGAGUGAAGAAGGCCCUAGGGUUGUAAAACUCUUUCAGUGGUGAAGAUGAUGACGGUAACCACAGAAGAAGCUCCGGCUAAAUUCGUGCCAGCAGCCGCGGUAAUACGAAUGGGGCGAGCGUUGUUCGGAAUCACUGGGCUUAAAGCGUACGUAGGCGGUUUUUCAAGUCAGGAGUGAAAUCCCGGGGCUCAACCCCGGAACUGCUCUUGAAACUGAAAGACUAGUGUCCCGGAGAGGUUGGCGGAAUUCCGAGUGUAGAGGUGAAAUUCGC
rnacentral:rRNA from 1 species